GGGGUUCUGGCUCAGUGGUAGAGCACUUGCCUGGCAUAUGUGAGGCACUGGGUUCAAUUCUCAGCACCCCA
rnacentral:tRNA from 1 species